UUUAAAUGUAAAUUUUUAAGCCUAAUUAUUAAUAGGUAUGUUCUUUAAAGUUAAAGAAUUUGGCGGUAUCUUAGUCUUUUUAGAGGAACCUGUUCUAUAAUCGAUAGUCCACGUUUUAUUAUACUUGUUUUAUUAGUUUAUAUAUCGUCGUAGUUUGAAUAUUUUAUAAGAAUUUGAAUGUUCAAGAUUCUUUAUUAAGAAGAAAAUCAGAUCAAGGUGUAGCUUAUAGGCAAGGAGUAAUGGGUUACAAUAAAUUUAUUUAUAUGGUUAAAAAUUUGAAAAGUUUUUUUAAAGUGGAUUUAAAGGUAAUAAUAUUAAAUUUAAUUUUAUGAUUUUAGCUCUAGGAUAUGU
rnacentral:rRNA from 1 species